rnacentral:rRNA from 1 species
UGGGGAAUUUUGGACAAUGGGCGAAAGCCUGAUCCAGCAAUGCCGCGUGUGUGAAGAAGGCCUUCGGGUUGUAAAGCACUUUUGUCCGGAAAGAAAUCCUUGGCUCUAAUACAGUCGGGGGAUGACGGUACCGGAAGAAUAAGCACCGGCUAACUACGUGCCAGCAGCCGCGGUAAUACGUAGGGUGCAAGCGUUAAUCGGAAUUACUGGGCGUAAAGCGUGCGCAGGCGGUUUGCUAAGACCGAUGUGAAAUCCCCGGGCUCAACCUGGGAACUGCAUUGGUGACUGGCAGGCUAGAGUAUGGCAGAGGGGGGUAGAAUUCCACGUGUAGCAGUGAAAUGCGUAGAGAUGUGGAGGAAUACCGAUGGCGAAGGCAGCCCCCUGGGCCAAUACUGACGCUCAUGCACGAAAGCGUGGGGAGCAAAACAGGAUUAGAUACCCUGGUAGUCCACGCCCUAAACGAUGUCAACUAGUUGUUGGGGAUUCAUUUCCUUAGUAACGUAGCUAACGCGUGAAGUUGACCGCCUGGGGAGUACGGUCGCAAGAUUAAAACUCAAAGGAAUUG